CGGAAAGGAAAGGAUAUUUGACAUCAUUUCUGACACAGUCAACGAGAAGUUCCCGCCCUGGAUGAGGUCAGUCAUGGCGUACCUCAGCACAGCAGGCGUCAUGAUCCCUCUCUUCAUGUUGCUUAUAAUGGCAAUCUACUAUCUACAAUCUCUCCUAAAAUCAUACAAAGAAGCGAACAACGACUUGAGGAUACAGCUACAAUACGAAAGAACCGAAGGAAAGAAAAAAGUUUACGAAAUGUCAGCGGG